rnacentral:pre_miRNA from 1 species
UGAUGAUGAUGAUGAUGAUGAUGAUGAUGAUGAUGAUGAUGAUGAUGAUGAUGAUGUUAGAAGUUAGCUAGACUAGACUUUAUAGUUCGAAACAAGCUUCUCUAAUUCAUCCUCUUAGCUAUUACUACUACUACUACUACUACUACUACCAUAAUCAUCAUUAUAAUCAUCUUCAUCAUCACCAUCAUCAUCAUUA